UACGUAGGUGGCAAGCGUUGUCCGGAUUUACUGGGCGUAAAGAGCGCGCAGGCGGUCGUUCAAGUCGCGUGUGAAAGCCCCCGGCUCAACUGGGGAGGGUCACGCGAUACUGAUCGACUCGAAGGCAGGAGAGGGAAGUGGAAUUCCCGGUGUAGUGGUGAAAUGCGUAGAUAUCGGGAGGAACACCAGUGGCGAAGGCGGCGACCUGGGCCAAUACGUGACGCUG
rnacentral:rRNA from 1 species